rnacentral:lncRNA from 1 species
AGAGACAUCUCAUCCAUUUGUAAAACUUAAAACAAUGAUAGCAUCAUAGUAGAAACUAUUGUUGUGCAUUCCAUAGAAAAAACAUAAAAUGUGGGUUUACACAUAAUCUUAUUUUCUAUAAUAAAAAGCGGAACAAUUUUGUGCAGCAUACUGCUAUUUAUUUUGGGCUGUCAUUCACGACAGUAUACCUAGGCACCUCUGAUUAUUAUUAUUUUUGCCUUCUCUGAUGCGCAACUAUGCAUGCUUCUGCAUUAUGUAAAGCUUAGGCUGCAAGCUGACUGCGAGAUGGAGAAGCAGAAAACAUCAUAAUAACCGGAGAGCCAGCUGUGUGAUGCAUAAGAUGGAGAUGAAGGGAGACUUCAGCAUCACCAUGACCGCAAGGUUGAUUUAUCUGCAAGCCACUAUAAGAUUGAGAUUCAAAGAAUAAUAAUAAGGGGCCAUUAGAGUUUAAAGUAGAAGUAAAUUAACUGACACAUGUUUAAGCGUGGGUCUACCUGUGAUUGCUGCAACGAAUCCAAUAUAAUUUGUUGCACAAAAGGGUCAACCAUAACUAAGAACCAGUACUUUGAAGGCGAGGUAGCAAUUAUGAGCAAUUGAAAUUGAGAUAGAAAAAAUAGCAACUGAGGAACAUCGGGAAGAGAGGUUGACUCCAUCGAGAUUGCUAUGAGAGAGUGCGCGGAGGCUGUACCUUGAAGCAUAAGCACCUUGAUCAGGAGGCUUCGGCCCCAUGAAGCGCAGUCCAACGGAAGCACCGCUGAGCAUGUGCUGUAAAAUCAGGUUUUGCACAAACACAAUGUAUUAAGGAAAAUUAGAUCAAUCGCUAGACCUUAAUUGAUUUUUUUAGAUCUGUGCUGUCUACCUAGAUAGUCGUUACACACUUGUAUUUGUGGUAUUUGGAGUAAGCUUGUGACACCAGGAAACUCUUCACGUGCCUAAAAGCAAAUAAAUGGGAAAAGUAGCAUGAGAAUGUUCAACAAAAAGAUUUAUCUUCACAAUUUCUAUCUAUUCGUAAUCUCCAGCACACUAUGAAGUUUCAGUGAUUUGUUGUCGACCAAACAGAAGUAACUCGAGAAUAAUCGAUUAAUGCAUCCAUAGUUUGUGCUCUUUACCUAAAAUCUACAUGGAACAAUUACAGAGGGAAGUGUAGAAGAACUAUUGUGGAACUUCAACAAAAAAGGAAGCGAGCCAACAUGCUUUGCUGUAAAAGAUUUAAAUUUGCAUAUACCUUCAGAUUGGAGCGUGCCUGGGAAGUACUCUUCAGUAAGAAGGUUCUAGUCUGAAACAUAAAUUUGCAUAUAGUUAGAAACUGAAUAGUAAUCUUCCCACAAACACUCAGAAACUGAAACAUAAAUUUGCAUGUAGCCACAAACUGAAUAGUAAUCUUCCCACAAAUGCUCAGAAACGCAUAUAGUCAGAAACUAAAUAGUAAUCUUCCCAUGUGUAUACCACAACGAAAAAAAUAGCGCGCUAUAACGACGCUAUAGCGCAGUUAUAGCGUAUUCAGAAGGAAACGCUAUAUUUUAGCAAAUUCAGCCGCUAUGACGCUAUUCACGUAAUUAGCGCGCUACAGGGCGUUAUAACGUUGUAGCGUGUAGCGUUAUAGCGUUCAAAUGAUGAAAAAUAUCAGAAAAAUAGGGAAGGACAGGUUUAUUUUGUGGUUAUUGCACGGUAGAUGUAGGCUAGGUGCUCAGUGUUCAGACUUAAUAUAUGUUAAAUAGAUUGACUAUAGUUUGACAUUCAGUUUAAAAUUUGUGCUUCCUAUUUGGCUAGAUUAUGUCUAUCUACGAUGGUGUCUUAAGGUACUGAAAUACUUUAUUUGUGGAUAUAUUUAGCAUUUUGUGCAAACGCUAUUCUGAAAUAUAGCACGCUAUUAGCGCGCUAUAACUUGUGUAGCAUUUUGAGAAGGGGCUCGCUAUAUUUUGUAGCGCGCUAUUUUUUUCAUUGGUAUACCAUCUAAUAAAAUUACUCAGAAACUGUAACUUGCAUCUACCUUCAGAUUGGAGAGUGUGUGGGAGGUAAUCUUCAGUAAGAAAACAACAGCUCGAUCCCAAGGCAGCCGAGAAGAAACCUGAAGAAUUUAAAUGCAUGGCUACAUAUUCAAUCAAGCAAAAUUAAAAUCCGAAUUGGAAUAGGGAAAGAAUUAAAAUGCAAGGUUGUGUAUUCAAUGAAACAAAUGAAUAUCAAUCAAACAUCCAGAAUAGAGAAAGAACAAAAAUUGAAAGCUAUGUAUUCAAUCAAGCAAAAUUAUAUGUACAUAUCAAGGAAACACACAAAAAUUCAGAAUUAGUGAUGGACGGGGACAUUAUGUGCCAAUAGGACCGAUAAACCUGAGGCGCCUAGGUAUGCAGAGAGUGAAGAAUAACCAAGAUGACUGACAUAGGGAAUGGCUAGGAGAGAGGAGAGAAUUCAUCCGUCCAUAUGGGAGGACGAUUGGAAUAAAAUGAGUGGGGCAGCAACUUUAAAAGGGAACCCAUCAGUUUCUUGUGGACAUCGUGGGGAGAGGAAGCGGAGCGUCGACCAUCAAUUACCUGCAGCAGAUUUUUUUGUAGGAGGUAGUUAUGGAAACGGAGAAGAUAAACAAUGUGGGCCAUUUCAAGCAUUUGGGCUGCACAGCAGUUGAAGCAACAGGCUAUGUACGGCUCGUGUGAGCAAAGGAAAAAAAAAGAGAGUGAAGAACAACAGGAUAACAUGAGCUUCAGCUGUACACCGUAGAUCGCCGUCCUCGUCCAGUUAAGCUAGCAAGCACCGAGCAACCAGCAAGCGGCAAGAAACGUACGAAUAUUAGAUCAGAAACACCAAACAUACGUACCUUGCGGAAUUGAUGGCGGCGCCGAGGAGGCAGAGGGAGGCCAGCGAGGUUCUCAUUCCCGAGGUCAUCCCGCUAGAACAGGGGCCGCCGCAGGGACGGCUGCUUCUGAUGCGUCCUAGGCCGCCGGCCCGCCGCUACGAGGAGAGCCCGGAGCAGACCAGUAGCAUGCGCACAUGCUGAACCGGCUGGACAGAAAUGGCUUGGAGUCUUAAUGGCGGCGGCAAGGAGGCGGGGCA